AGAGUUUUCAAUGACCUCAAUCUGUUUGCGCUUCCACUUUUGCUUUCUUCGGUCGUUGUUACUUUUGCGCUUGUGGUUACAUCCCAUAAUUUCACAGUACAAUCAGCAGAGCCAGAUGCAAGCAGUGAACCUUCACAACUGAAAGCUAGUGUCCACACGCAUGAAUUGUGGCCCAUCAAAGGCAAAACACAGCGGCCACUUGAAAGGUCCCAC
rnacentral:misc_RNA from 1 species